GAUGAACGCUAGCGAUAGGCCUAACACAUGCAAGUCGAGGGGCAUCACAUGAAGUAGCAAUACGGAUGGUGGCGACCGGCGCACGGGUGAGUAACACGGUAUGCAACCUGCCUUCAACAAGGGGGAUAACCCGUUGAAAGACGGACUAAUACCCUAUAACACAGGGGUCCCGCAUGGGGAAUAUUUGUUAAAGGACAACCGGUUGAAGAUGGGCAUGCGUUCCAUUAGCUAGUUGGCGGGGUAACGGCCCACCAAGGCAACGAUGGAUAGGGGAACUGAGAGGUUUAUCCCCCACACUGGUACUGAGACACGGACCAGACUCCUACGGGAGGCAGCAGUGAGGAAUAUUGGUCGAAUGGACGCAAGUCUGAACCAGCCACGUCGCGUGAAGGAA
rnacentral:rRNA from 1 species